AUUUAUUCCCCGUUAGUCCGGUCGGGUUUUUGUUCUUGUUAGUGUUUGCGUUUGUUUUUCCUGUUUGGCUCCCUUCUCCCCCUAGCGGCUUGGAGCGGUACUGUUCCCGGAGUUCGCUGCGGAAGCCAGCCAAUAGAUCGCUGGAGGGCGGACUCUACUCACCUGUGCCUCGUUUACCACCUCAUCAACCACUGCAUAUAAACGCCGGCUUUUCCUCUGCUCUUCGCCAGAUUGUCUGCUUGCCACCGCGCCCAGCGAUCCCCACACCACCUGGCUUCCCGGCUUACCUAUCGUCUCCUGGAUUUUGGCUCCUUCGCUCCUUGUGUCCUGGUUCCACUCCUACCUGCCUCUUCGUGUUCCUCCAGACCCUGGACUGCUUGGGACACCUUCCCGCACACCUGGAUGAACACCACGGCUCCCCCUGUUCACCUCUCAGACACCCUGCGCCUUCUACCAUCAGUACCGCCCCAGCCGCUUCCCCAGUGUUCUCCGUUGUUUGGUUCAUUUAGUAUUAUCUUUUGUUUUGUUAAUUCCAAUAAAAGCCCCAUUACCUA